UGGUCAAAAAAUAACUUUAUAUUUUUUAAAAAAAAUGAUGUAAUGAAGAAAAAAAAAAUAGAUGCUUUUUUUUAAGUAAAAGAAAAUGAUGUAAUGAUGAAAAAAUGAUGUAUUGAAUUUUUUUCUCUAUUGUUUGUUUAUUGGUUGUAUAUUUUGUUUUAAAUAUAUUUUAAAUUUUUUAAAUUUUUGUACUUUUCUCUAAUGUAAUUAUAUAGUAUGAUUAAUU
rnacentral:lncRNA from 1 species